rnacentral:rRNA from 1 species
GUCGAGUCGGCCUGCGCGGAAGAUGUAACGGGGCUAAGUAGUAAACCGAAGCUGCGGCAAUAUACUUUUGUAUAUUGGGUAGGGGAGCGUUCUGUAAGCGGUUGAAGGUGUGUGGUAACGCAUGCUGGACGUAUCAGAAGUGCGAAUGCUGACAUGAGUAACGAUAAAGGGGGUGAAAAACCUCCUCGCCGGAAGACCAAGGGUUCCUGUCCAACGUUAAUCGGGGCAGGGUAAGUCGACCCCUAAGGCGAGGCCGAAAGGCGUAGUCGAUGGGAAACGGGUUAAUAUUCCCGUACUUCUUACAAUUGCGAUGGGGGGACGGAGAAGGCUAGGUGGGCCUGGCGACGGUUGUCCAGGUUCAAGUGCGUAGGCUUAAGAGUUAGGUAAAUCCGGCUCUUUUUAAGGCAGAGACACGACGUCGAGCACCUACGGGUGUGAAGUCAUUGAUGCCAUGCUUCCAGGAAAAGCCUCUAAGCUUCAGAUUGUAAGGAAUCGUACCCCAAACCGACACAGGUGGUCGGGUAGAGAAUACCAAGGCGCUUGAGAGAACUCGGGUGAAGGAACUAGGCAAAAUGGUACCGUAACUUCGGGAGAAGGUACGCUCUUGAUGGUGAAGUCCCUUGCGGAUGGAGCUGACGAGAGUCGCAGAUACCAGGUGGCUGCAACUGUUUAUUAAAAACACAGCACUGUGCAAAAUCGUAAGAUGACGUAUACGGUGUGACGCCUGCCCGGUGCCGGAAGGUUAAUUGAUGGGGUUAGACUUCGGUCGAAGCUCUUGAUCGAAGCCCCGGUAAACGGCGGCCGUAACUAUAACGGUCCUAAGGUAGCGAAAUUCCUUGUCGGGUAAGUUCCGACCUGCACGAAUGGCGUAAUGAUGGCCACGCUGUCUCCACCCGAGACUCAGUGAAAUUGAAAUCGCUGUGAAGAUGCAGUGUACCCGCGGCUAGACGGAAAGACCCCGUGAACCUUUACUACAGCUUGGCACUGAACAUUGACCCUACAUGUGUAGGAUAGGUGGGAGGCUUUGA